ACCGGAACGAUCCGCUUUAUAAUAAAAUGUAUGAAUUAUUGAACAUUUACACAUUUUUGAAUAAUUACAUUUCAUGUGUUUUCUUAUGAGCUAGUAUAACGACUCAUUCUGAACAGUUAUAGUUUUAAGCAGUGUAUUAGAAUAAUACACUCUAAGAAAAUCUGUGAAAUAGGACACAAUGUUCAUUUUUCUACAUAUUUUUUAACUGAUCAACUCGGCAGGUGCAAACUUACAAGGUGUGAUCAUAAAUGAACAAUUAUUAUUGAACAAUUGCGACUUAAUUCAUGUGAUAUGUGUACUGUGAGACACCUUUGAUUUCCUCUUCUUGUGUAAUUUAGAGAGAAAAUAUGUGCCUUUUUAUUAUUUGAGUCACAGUUGCUGAAAGUUGCCAAAUAGAUUUGUUGCAAGGUGCAUGAAAAAGUUGCAAGAGUAGUCUGAAAAGUUACUAAAUCUGCAAACCCUCCGUCCCAAUCGAAUCCAGCGUGUGGCUCUGUUCCUCAGCUGUGCAUUGCGUACAACCGAAGGCGAGGGCGGCGUGGAAACUGUCCGGACGGAGAGAAGUGCUCGAGGCUGCACGUGUGCGAGAGCUUCGUCAGAGGACGCUGCGGCGACACGGACUGCGGCCGCUCGCACGAUUUCCAAGAGCCUCACGUGAGAAAAGUGCUGCGCUCCAGAGGAGUGUCUCAGCAGCUCAUGAGCUCGCUGCCCUUCAUCUACCGCAACAUCCUCGCGCUCAAGACGCUCAAGACUCAACCGGACCGAAGGAACACGGACACCCAGCCUCACGGAAGCUCUGACGGAGGUAUCAGAGUUCCUCAGUGAUUCAUUCGCUUCAUAUUCUGAUUUAAUAUGUUCUGUUUUCUCUCCUCAGAGACUGAGAUCUGUCUGUCGUUUGUCAGAGGAUUCUGCGGAGCAGAUAAAUGCAGUAAAACACACUGUAAGAUGCCCUAUAAGUGGGAGGUGAAGGUGGGCCGCACGUGGCAUGAUUUACCCAACAGUGAACAGAUCGAGCGAGAUUACUGCGAGCCGUCCAACAUACACAGGUAACCCUCACAGGACAAGAAAUCUGCUGCUCCAAGCCCACAAGAGCUUCAAAACAACCAACGUGUCAUAGAAAUGAUGAACUUUUAAUGAAACCUGCAAGAUCUGUUUCUCUUCAUUGAAAGUCCAUGCAAUCAAAAUUAAUAACCCUAAAGACAUACAGAAGCAAAAGCGGUUUAAUCCAAGACUCGAACAUGUUAUAUCAGUGAACUUCCACGUUUACCAUAUUUAAUGAGCUCUACAUAAUGAAUAAAAGCUUAAAUUAGAUCUGUUUAUCA
ensembl:lncRNA